AAGACCAUAAGGCUUUGCCUUGCGAUGAGUUUCUGGUGUCUUUUGACGUCAGGGACUUCAAACUGAUUGGCGUCUGAAGUUAGCCCAAGCACAGCGAUAUGUGUUCUGUCUCUAGCUAAGGAUUGCCCGUACCCAAAAUCAUUAAUU
rnacentral:misc_RNA from 1 species